UUACACUUGGUUACUUGUAAGAUAAAUCACAUUUUCAAGUAUAAUGAAUCAAGUAAAAGAGUAAAGUGAAUUUUUGCUAUGUUUGUCCUUAUAGUUAGUUACUACAAGUCGUGUUGCAGCAGAGUCUACCCUUCAAACUGAAUAUGGCUGCAGCUUUACAUGUCUCACUCAGAUGAGGUCUUGGCUUUGUAAAAAGGUAGCAACCAGGUGCCAGACUGUAAGCAGCAGGCAUCCAAGAGACAGUGCUGGAAAAAAAAACACGCAAAUAUAGCAAGGCGAAAUGCCAAACAAAAGAGAAUCUGGGGUUACCUUUCAAUUUAACUCUCGCUGGCGAGCAUGUUCACCAACAGUAACUGACAACCUGCGUGGUUUACCUUCAAAACCCCUUUGUGUUUAAAUAGCAUCUCACCUAAAACAACACAAUGACAAUUUCCUUCAAGCUUCUUUUAUUGAGGUGACAGUUUGGCUUUGCCUUGAUUUACACAGUAAUGGUCAUUUACAGUGAAAGUAUUACAAAACAAAAUCGAGCGGACUUAAUUAAAGAAAAAUUCCUAAAUUUCUGUGUGAUCACGAACACAACUGUAAUGAUCAUUUCUGGUACCUUUCGUUGCAGAAGGAUUUGGUUUGAUGGUGCAGAGAAGUGGACUAACCUGCCUGCUACUCACUCUGGUGCUGUUGACAGGGUAUCUGCAGAUUCAUACAAAGUAUGAAAAAGUCUUAAGGCCUUUGUAUCAGUAGCAGUAUCCCAGAACAUCAACAGCAGAUGCUGUCAACGCAAAAGUCCACUGACAAAGCAGCAAUAUGUGACGACUUGUGUGUGGAACAAGAGAUUGGAGAGAACAAGAGAUUGGAGAGAUUGGAGCACACCCAUGUCUGCAGGUACAAUCCCUGCAGACACUAAAAAUGGGCUGCUUGAGGACAUCCACGAGUCCUCGGGAUUGUUGCAGACAUGGGUGGAUCACAUGGUAAUUGUCAUUAAUCCAAGUUUCAUUUAUCCAGUUCUACGCUCAGUACUUCUCAAACAAAUUCCUAGUAGCUAACACCUUACUUAAGGACAGUCUCUCACAAGGACGAGUAGCACACUUAGGCAAGCGUGUGCUUUAAAACUCUGCUCAGUAGAAUACACAAGCAAAGUUUGUUUUAAAUAGAAAGGUUUUAGCAAAAAUGCAUAUGUCUGGGAAGUACUGAGCAUAUAUCUAUGAGACUUGGAUUAUAAUGCACAAGUUGUGUAAGAGUUUUUAUAAGGAUAUCUUGAUAUAUUUUGCUGGUGUUUAACAAGGCCCCCAUUUACUCCAUUUUGUCAAGAAUUUUCUCUGUUUGUGGAUUGCUUUGUUCAUUGUGGAGGCAAGUGAGAAAAACAUUUUCUUUAUGAAUUGAAAGUAACACAGGGUGAGUUACUGAUAUACAAAUGGUCGUUUUAUGGGUGACGUAUUCCUUCAAACUGAUGUUAAAACUGUAACUUAACAUCCCUUAAAAUCCUGAUCCCACAGUGUCUAAUCUAAACCCUAUCUGAAUAAGCUAUAAUGGUUACUUCAGAUCAAGCUUGUUCAGAUGAGGCACUUCAGUAUUUCACCCUGCAAUACAGUGUGAGACUUGUUGGCUACUCACAGCAACAUGGGGCUUGAUGUGAACUUUUAAGCCUUACCAAAAUACAGACUAUGUAGAGCACCAGGCAUCUGAUCCCACUCAACCCGGGGAAAGGAACUCAAAUGAAAAUGUAAAAAAAGAGAACGAAAGAAUUAUAAAACUUAAUACAGGUAUCUGUGGUUGUUGUAAGUGCUGU